GGUUUGGUGGCGAGUGGCGCACGGGUGCGUAACGCGUAUGCAACCUACCCUUUACAGGGGGAUAGCCCAGAGAAAUUUGGAUUAAUACCCCAUCGCAUAUGGGACCGGCAUCGGUUUCAUAUUAAAGUUUCGGCGGUAAGGGAUGGGCAUGCGUUCUAUUAGCUAGUAGGUACGGUAACGGCGUACCUAGGCUACGAUAGAUAGGGGCCUGAGAGGAUGAUCAGCCACACUGGGACUGAGAUACGGCCCAGACUCC
rnacentral:rRNA from 1 species